GAUGAAGAACGUAGCGAAAUGCGAUACGUAAUGUGAAUUGCAGAAUUCAGUGAAUCAUCGAGUCUUUGAACGCACAUUGCGCCCCCUGGUAUUCCGGGGGCCAUGCCUGUCCGAGCGUCAUUGCUGCCCUCAAGCACGGCUUGUGUGUUGGGCCUCCGUCCUCCUCCCGGGGGACGGGCCCGAAAGGCAGCGGCGGCACCGCGUCCGGUCCUCGAGCGUAUGGGGCUUCGUCACCCGCUCUUGUAGGCCCGGCCGGCGCUUGCCGACACAUCAAUCUUUUUUCCAGGUUGACCUCGGAUCAGGUAGGGAUACCCGCUGAACUUAAGCAUAUCAAUAAGCGGAGGA
rnacentral:misc_RNA from 1 species